rnacentral:rRNA from 1 species
UGCAGUCGAGCGGAACGAGUUAACUGAACCUUCGGGGAACGUUAACGGCGUCGAGCGGCGGACGGGUGAGUAAUGCCUGGGAAAUUGCCCUGAUGUGGGGGAUAACCAUUGGAAACGAUGGCUAAUACCGCAUAAUAGCUUCGGCUCAAAGAGGGGGACCUUCGGGCCUCUCGCGUCAGGAUAUGCCCAGGUGGGAUUAGCUAGUUGGUGAGGUAAUGGCUCACCAAGGCGACGAUCCCUAGCUGGUCUGAGAGGAUGAUCAGCCACACUGGAACUGAGACACGGUCCAGACUCCUACGGGAGGCAGCAGUGGGGAAUAUUGCACAAUGGGCGCAAGCCUGAUGCAGCCAUGCCGCGUGUAUGAAGAAGGCCUUCGGGUUGUAAAGUACUUUCAGCAGUGAGGAAGGC